AGACUCCUGCACGUGAGGCCGUGGAAUCUCAACAAUCCAUCACACGCCAGCCCCACUGCUCUGCACACCAUGCUUUGACCAUGGGCUGGUUCACGUCCAAGGCUUGGAUAAGAUGACAGCAAAUGUCCCCUUCAGCUAUAAGGCUUUAUGGUUUGAACUAGGGACAGAGGGGAAACCCAACUGCCACCCUUAUAUACUGCUGUUUAUAGCUUUGAUCAUAACGAAUGGCCAGAAACACCCCAAAUGCCCAAGCAGGGAAUGAUCACGCCAUGGCCUCACGUGAAGACAGGGAACGCUGCCGCUGCAAGGUGAACACACGCCCUCAACGGCUCCCAGGUGAGCGCUCACGAGAUGCAAGGUGAACACACGCCCUCAACAGCUCCCAGGUGAGCGAGCUGCAAGGUCAACACACACAUUCAGUGGCUCCCAGGUGAGCGCUCACUAGAUGCAACGUGAACACACGCCCUCAAUGGCUCCCAGGUGAGUGCUCACGAGCUGCAAGGUGAACACACACACUCAGUGGCUCCCAGGUAAGCGCCUCACGACCAGCUUGGGCUGGACUGGCGUCUCCUUUCAGUGGCUGCCACUUUCCGUGGUGCAGACGCUACCACCCCGCCCAAUCUCAAGCUGCUGAGGUGACGUCACUGAACGGGAGUCGAGAGGAGCGGCAGCCAGUGCUGAGAAGCACCUGUGCCCUGCAGGUACGGCAGGCAGACACACCGAGGCGAAAGGGAGUCGGGCAAUAGGAAGUGCUAAGUGCGCGUUAACUCUGCUAACCUAAAUCAACUGUAAGCACGUAACUUUUUCACAAUGCAUGUGUUUAACGAUCAGCCCACAAAGUUUUUGAAAAUUUAAGUUGGCUCUCAGGAGCCAGUACGAGCUGGUUCCAGCACACAGCUGGGCUGCAGACAUUCGUUCAUUAUACCCUGCCUCCUGCCACACACUGAUUUAGAAGUGGUUUGAGAAUGCUAUUAAGUUAAAACUAGCAAGCUUGUGGAAAUUAAGGAAAAAAUGAAUUCUUACUGAUGGUUAUUAUUACGGUUUCUCAAUAAAGAUCUUGGGUAUUUAAAAAUUAAA